rnacentral:rRNA from 1 species
UCCACCGAUUGACUAAGGUUUCCAGAGGAAGGCUCGUCCGCUCUGGGUUAGUCGGGUCCUAAGCUGAGGCCGACAGGCGUAGGCGAUGGAUAACAGGUUGAUAUUCCUGUACCACCUAUAAUCGUUUUAAUCGAUGGGGGGACGCAGUAGGAUAGGCGAAGCGUGCGAUUGGAUUGCACGUCUAAGCAGUAAGGCUGAGUAUUAGGCAAAUCCGGUACUCGUUAAGGCUGAGCUGUGAUGGGGAGAAGACAUUGUGUCUUCGAGUCGUUGAUUUCACACUGCCGAGAAAAGCCUCUAGAUAGAAAAUAGGUGCCCGUACCGCAAACCGACACAGGUAGUCAAGAUGAGAAUUCUAAGGUGAGCGAGCGAACUCUCGUUAAGGAACUCGGCAAAAUGACCCCGUAACUUCGGGAGAAGGGGUGCUCUUUAGGGUUAACGCCCAGAAGAGCCGCAGUGAAUAGGCCCAAGCGACUGUUUAUCAAAAACACAGGUCUCUGCUAAACCGUAAGGUGAUGUAUAGGGGCUGACGCCUGCCCGGUGCUGGAAGGUUAAGAGGAGUGGUUAGCUUCUGCGAAGCUACGAAUCGAAGCCCCAGUAAACGGCGGCCGUAACUAUAACGGUCCUAAGGUAGCGAAAUUCCUUGUCGGGUAAGUUCCGACCCGCACGAAAGGCGUAACGAUUUGGGCACUGUCUCAACGAGAGACUCGGUGAAAUCAUAGUACCUGUGAAGAUGCAGGUUACCCGCGACAGGACGGAAAGACCCCGUGGAGCUUUACUGUAGCCUGAUAUUGAAAUUCGGCACAGCUUGUACAGGAUAGGUAGGAGCCUUUGAAACGUGAGCGCUAGCUUACGUGGAGGCGCUGGUGGGAUACUACCCUAGCUGUGUUGGCUUUCUAACCCGCACCACUUAUCGUGGUGGGAGACAGUGUCAGGCGGGCAGUUUGACUGGGGCGGUCGCCUCCUAAAAGGUAACGGAGGCGCUCAAAGGUUCCCUCAGAAUGGUUGGAAAUCAUUCAUAGAGUGUAAAGGCAUAAGGGAGCUUGACUGCGAGACCUACAAGUCGAGCAGGGUCGAAAGACGGACUUAGUGAUCCGGUGGUUCCGCAUGGAAGGGCCAUCGCUCAACGGAUAAAAGCUACCCCGGGGAUAACAGGCUUAUCUCCCCCAAGAGUUCACAUCGACGGGGAGGUUUGGCACCUCGAUGUCGGCUCAUC